rnacentral:rRNA from 1 species
GGGUUGUGAGGUUAAGCGACUAAGCGUACACGGUGGAUGCCCUGGCAGUCAGAGGCGAUGAAGGACGUGCUAAUCUGCGAAAAGCGCCGGCGAGGUGAUAUGAACCCUUGACCCGGCGAUGUCCGAAUGGGGAAACCCAGUGCAAUUCGUUGCACUAUCGUUAGCUGAAUACAUAGGCUAACGAGGCGAACCGGGGGAACUGAAACAUCUAAGUACCCCGAGGAAAAGAAAUCAACCGAGAUUCCCCCAGUAGCGGCGAGCGAACGGGGAGCAGCCCGGAGUCUGAAUCAGCUUGUGUGUUAGUGGAAGCGUCUGGAAAGUCGCAGGGUACAGGGUGAUACUCCCGUACACGAAAGCACACUUGCUGUGAACUCGAAGAGUAGGGCGGGACACGUGGUAUCCUGUCUGAAUAUGGGGGGACCAUCCUCCAAGGCUAAAUACUCCUGACUGACCGAUAGUGAACCAGUACCGUGAGGGAAAGGCGAAAAGAACCCCGGCGAGGGGAGUGAAAAAGAACCUGAAACCGUGUACGUACAAGCAGUGGGAGCAUCCUUCGGGGUGUGACUGCGUACCUUUUGUAUAAUGGGUCAGCGACUUAUAUUCUGUAGCAAGGUUAACCGUAUAGGGGAGCCGAAGGGAAACCGAGUCUUAACUGGGCGUUAAGUUGCAGGGUAUAGACCCGAAACCCGGUGAUCUAGCCAUGGGCAGGUUGAAGGUUGGGUAACACUAACUGGAGGACCGAACCGACUAAUGUUGAAAAAUUAGCGGAUGACCUGUGGCUGGGGGUGAAAGGCCAAUCAAACCGGGAGAUAGCUGGUUCUCCCCGAAAGCUAUUUAGGUAGCGCCUCGUGAACUCAUCCUCGGGGGUAGAGCACUGUUUCGGCUAGGGGGCCAUCCCGGCUUACCAACCCGAUGCAAACUGCGAAUACCGGGGAAUGUUAUCACGGGAGACACACGGCGGGUGCUAACGUCCGUCGUGAAGAGGGAAACAACCCAGACCGCCAGCUAAGGUCCCAAAGUCAUGGUUAAGUGGGAAACGAUGUGGGAAGGCACAGACAGCCAGGAUGUUGGCUUAGAAGCAGCCAUCAUUUAAAGAAAGCGUAAUAGCUCACUGGUCGAGUCGGCCUGCGCGGAAGAUGUAACGGGGCUAAACCAUGCACCGAAGCUGCGGCAGCGACACUAUGUGUUGUUGGGUAGGGGAGCGUUCUGUAAGCCUGCGAAGGUGUGCUGUGAGGCAUGCUGGAGGUAUCAGAAGUGCGAAUGCUGACAUAAGUAACGAUAAAGCGGGUGAAAAGCCCGCUCGCCGGAAGACCAAGGGUUCCUGUCCAACGUUAAUCGGGGCAGGGUGAGUCGACCCCUAAGGCGAGGCCGAAAGGCGUAGUCGAUGGGAAACAGGUUAAUAUUCCUGUACUCGGUGUUACUGCGAAGGGGGGACGGAGAAGGCUAUGUUGGCCGGGCGACGGUUGUCCCGGUUUAAGCAUGUAGGCGGAGGUUCCAGGUAAAUCCGGUACCUUUUUAACGCUGAGGUGUGAUGACGAGGCACUACGGUGCUGAAGCAACAAAUGCCCUGCUUCCAGGAAAAGCCUCUAAGCAUCAGGUAACACCAAAUCGUACCCCAAACCGACACAGGUGGUCAGGUAGAGAAUACCAAGGCGCUUGAGAGAACUCGGGUGAAGGAACUAGGCAAAAUGGUGCCGUAACUUCGGGAGAAGGCACGCUGAUAUGUAGGUGAAGCCCCUGCGGGUGGAGCUGAAAUCAGUCGAAGAUACCAGCUGGCUGCAACUGUUUAUUAAAAACACAGCACUGUGCAAACACGAAAGUGGACGUAUACGGUGUGACGCCUGCCCGGUGCCGGAAGGUUAAUUGAUGGGGUCAGCGGCAACGCGAAGCUCUUGAUCGAAGCCCCGGUAAACGGCGGCCGUAACUAUAACGGUCCUAAGGUAGCGAAAUUCCUUGUCGGGUAAGUUCCGACCUGCACGAAUGGCGUAAUGAUGGCCAGGCUGUCUCCACCCGAGACUCAGUGAAAUUGAAAUCGCUGUGAAGAUGCAGUGUACCCGCGGCAAGACGGAAAGACCCCGUGAACCUUUACUAUAGCUUGACACUGAACACUGGUCCUUGAUGUGUAGGAUAGGUGGGAGGCUUUGAAGCGUGGACGCCAGUCUGCGUGGAGCCGUCCUUGAAAUACCACCCUUUAAUGGCUGGUGUUCUAACGUAGACCCGUAAUCCGGGUUGCGGACAGUGUCUGGUGGGUAGUUUGACUGGGGCGGUCUCCUCCUAAAGAGUAACGGAGGAGCACGAAGGUCAGCUAAUCCUGGUCGGACAUCAGGAGGUUAGUGCAAUGGCAUAAGCUGGCUUGACUGCGAGAGUGACGGCUCGAGCAGGUGCGAAAGCAGGUCAUAGUGAUCCGGUGGUUCUGUAUGGAAGGGCCAUCGCUCAACGGAUAAAAGGUACUCCGGGGAUAACAGGCUGAUACCGCCCAAGAGUUCAUAUCGACGGCGGUGUUUGGCACCUCGAUGUCGGCUCAUCACAUCCUGGGGCUGAAGUAGGUCCCAAGGGUAUGGCUGUUCGCCAUUUAAAGUGGUACGCGAGCUGGGUUUAGAACGUCGUGAGACAGUUCGGUCCCUAUCUGCCGUGGGCGCUGGAGAAUUGAGGGGGGCUGCUCCUAGUACGAGAGGACCGGAGUGGACGCAUCACUGGUGUUCGGGUUGUCAUGCCAAUGGCACUGCCCGGUAGCUAAAUGCGGAAGAGAUAAGUGCUGAAAGCAUCUAAGCACGAAACUUGCCCCGAGAUGAGUUCUCCCUGACCCUUUGAGGGUCCUGAAGGAACGUUGAAGACGACGACGUUGAUAGGCCGGGUGUGUAAGCGCAGCGAUGCGUUGAGCUAACCGGUACUAAUGAACCGUGAGGCUUAACCUUACAACGCCGAAGCUGUU